UGGUGCAAGAGACUGCUGGGAGUGGG
rnacentral:piRNA from 1 species